rnacentral:tRNA from 1 species
GCGGGUAUUGUAUAAUGGCUAUUAUGCGACCCUUCCAAGGUCGAGACGGGGGUUCGACUCCCCCUACCCGCUCCA